AGGAUAUUAGUUAAACAAUUAUAACAUUUAAUUUGCAAUUAAAAAUUACACACCUACCAAAUGUAUAUCUUA
rnacentral:tRNA from 1 species